rnacentral:rRNA from 1 species
UACGGAGGGUGCAAGCGUUAUCCGGAUUUACUGGGUUUAAAGGGUGUGUAGGUGGGUUGGUAAGUCAGUGGUGAAAUACUUUCGCUUAACGAAGGAACUGCCAUUGAUACUAUCAAUCUUGAAUGUAGUGGAGGUAGGCGGAAUGCGUCAUGUAGCGGUGAAAUGCUUAGAUAUGACGCAGAACACCAAUUGCGAAGGCAGCUUGCUACACUACUAUUGACACUGAGGCACGAAAGCGUGGGGAUCAAACAGG